AGCUUUGCGCUGUGGCGAUAUCGUAACCAAUGAGGUUGAACCGAGGUGCGAUCAUUGCAAGUUGAAAACUAAUGCCAAUUCCCCGUCUUAGGGAUGUGAAACACCGUCCGCUUUGGCAAUUUUUGAACACUCCGAAAGGGG